GCCCGUUUAGCUCAGUGGUAGAGCGUGCCACUCGUAAUGGUAAGGUCGGUCGUUCAAUCCGGCCAACGGGCA
rfam:Amanita muscaria Koide BX008 unplaced genomic scaffold scaffold_24, whole genome shotgun sequence.